CCCUUAACAAGUUAGUUUCAAUUUCAAUGAGAAAUUAUGAGUUUGGAUGGAUUAAAAAGGUAGUAGUUGAUAAGGCUUCCUUUCAUUAAUUGGACUUACUUUCAUUAAGUGAUGACUUAUGCAUAAGCUAUAACAGUAUUUUCUUCCUAAUAAAAAAAAAUCAGUAAAUUGUUAUGCAAGGCUAAUAUGUAUUUAUUUUAUUGAAUAGCUAACAUUGUGAUCUUAGAUAAUAGUGGUACAGCCAUACUCCUGUUUUAUUGAUAGUAGGACAGUUUUGACUAGGGAAACAUAUGAAAAGAAGAAAGAGGCAACAUGAACAGCAGAGAUUAUUUAGUUAAUGAUUAAGUUGGGUGCAGCUAUAUAUGNNN
rnacentral:lncRNA from 1 species